rnacentral:lncRNA from 1 species
UUGUACUUGGUGUUUUUCCACGAGUUUCAAAAUCAAACCAAUUUCGAUAUCCUUAUAAUUAAGCAAACAUCCUGUUUUCAAAAUUUCGUAUAUUAUCUUGUAAACUCGAGAGAAUAUAUGAUUUGGACAUCAAUUCCAAAAGUCAAACUAAUUUCUGUUUAGAGCAUCCAUAAUGAACUACCUAAACCAUCCUCCUUAUAUCAAAUUUAAGGAGGAAGUGAGAAAACCUACCUCCAACCAUACUCCCUAUCC